GGAUGCUUGGUGUAAUGGCUAACACAUCAGUCCGGUCUACUGAAGAUGCUGGUUCGCUCCCAGCCGCCG
rnacentral:tRNA from 1 species